CACCUCUCAGGAUUGCACCUGGAGUUCCCAGUCCUCUACCAGUCUCGGCCAUGGGAGGGAGAGUCGAGCAGAGGCCGACCCAUUCCAUUCCUAGCUUGGGCAGUGGCUAGCGAGUGGAAGGCAAUCUGCUACAAGU